rnacentral:tRNA from 1 species
AUCGUGAGGGUUCAAGUCCCUCUAUCCCCAAAAAGUC